AAACCAGCACCUCAAGUGGUCAGGAGGAUUAUUUGGCCUAAAGCAUCCGUAGCCUGUUCUAUAAGUUUCCGGUUAAAUCCACUAGCUCAACUAGUGGGCUGCCGAAAAUACUGUAGAACUAGGGAGUGGGAGAGGUAGACGGUAUUCGGUAGGAAGGGGUAAAAUCCUUUGAUCUAUUGAUGACCACCUGUGGCGAAGGCGGUCUACCAGAACACGUUCGACGGUGAGGGAUGAAAGCUGGGGGAGCAAACCGGAUUAGAAACCCGAGUAGUCC
rnacentral:rRNA from 1 species